GUGCGGCACAAAAAUAAAUUUCAAAUAACUUAAUGGUUCAGAGCAUACUUAGUCUGUCAGCAUUGGACAUUAGAAUGGAACCAACUCUAGAGUGGGUUGGAAUCAUAUCCAUCAAUCCAUUACUUCCAUCUACUGGACUGUGGUUUCAAUAUCAAUUCCCUAUCCAAUCCAAGUCGGGCAUUUAGUUAGCCUCCUACAUUGGCUGAGGACCCGUAUAAGUCUCCGUUCAUCGACUUCCUCGCUCUUUUUUACAACGAGGAGGGUCGUGUGUAGAGAGUGAAAUGGCUAGUCAGCUUGGAGAGUUUAAGAAUAUGGAUCCUGGUGGUUUGAAAAAACACCAUUUCAUCAUCAGUGUGGAUGGAUCCUAGUGGUUUGAAAAAAACACCAUUUCAGCAUCAGUGUGGAUAGUGUUUGAGGAAUGGGCUCUGUGACAAGCAAGACUUAUCACUCCCACAGACAGCCAAAUCUCUGGGCAUGAACCUUUUGUGUAACUGUUAACUGAAGAAUGGAUUCAACUAAACCAUAAAUCCGAUGAUCACUAUGGGUUUUUGGUGGAAGUUGAGCAGAUGACUUUAAAACCGAAGGCUCCUCUUGAAUGAUUGCUUUGUCAGCAGAAGUGCAACUCUCUGACAUGUACCCUAUAAUCUGAGCUUGGUGGAGGUGUCUGAAGUUAAUAACAAACCCAAGUCCACAGUUUCCCUUCUGAAGACCUUUUUUAAAACUGUAAAUUUAGGCAAUUUUUUCACCUACCCUUUUCACUUGCUCCCAACUUGGUCUGCUUUUGUGCAAUGUCUCCAGAGAUUAUAAGAAAUUGAUUUACAAAAGAUGACAAAUAAAAACCUCAACAGAAAAAUCAGUAGCUGGUUGGUUUGUGGUGUUUUUUUUUUGGUCCUUAUUUCUCUUAUCGAUACAAGAACCACACACACCAUACCUCCAGUUUUGGUGGAGCAAGGCUAAAUGGGUGUGUAAAAGACUGACCACUUUCUCUAAAGAAUUUUGCACUUUGUGGUGUCUGCUGUAUUUAAGAACAGAGAUGCUGUGUGGUUCUGAAGAGUUGAUUAGAAUUCCAGGUGACUAAUACAGAGCUGAAUGAAGAUGGAAGAUCCUGCCUUCCAACUAUUAGUACCAGUUUCCAGAACCAAAAUCUCAACACCUACACAUGUACAUUUAAGCAGACUAUUGAGAUCCUUGGGAUGCAGGCCUCCUCACAAUUCCAAACAUCCCCUUUGAAGCUCUGUGUGUGUUCAUUCAGCACUGUGCCUACUAUGGGGCAUUCCUGGUACAUCUGUUCAAGAAGCUGUAGUGAGUUACACUUCUAGU